UAUACAUGCAAGUCGAACGCUUUUUCUUUCACCGGAGCUUGCUCCACCGAAAGAAAAAGAGUGGCGAACGGGUGAGUAACACGUGGGUAACCUGCCCAUCAGAAGGGGAUAACACUUGGAAACAGGUGCUAAUACCGUAUAACACUAUUUUCCGCAUGGAAGAAAGUUGAAAGGCGCUUUUGCGUCACUGAUGGAUGGACCCGCGGUGCAUUAGCUAGUUGGUGAGGUAACGGCUCACCAAGGCAACGAUGCAUAGCCGACCUGAGAGGGUGAUCGGCCACACUGGGACUGAGACACGGCCCAGACUCCUACGGGAGGCAGCAGUAGGGAAUCUUCGGCAAUGGACGAAAGUCUGACCGAGCAACGCCGCGUGAGUGAAGAAGGUUUUCGGAUCGUAAAACUCUGUUGUUAGAGAAGAACAAGGAUGAGAGUAGAACGUUCAUCCCUUGACGGUAUCUAACCAGAAAGCCACGGCUAACUACGUGCCAGCAGCCGCGGUAAUACGUAGGUGGCAAGCGUUGUCCGGAUUUAUUGGGCGUAAAGCGAGCGCAGGCGGUUUCUUAAGUCUGAUGUGAAAGCCCCCGGCUCAACCGGGGAGGGUCAUUGGAAACUGGGAGACUUGAGUGCAGAAGAGGAGAGUGGAAUUCCAUGUGUAGCGGUGAAAUGCGUAGAUAUAUGGAGGAACACCAGUGGCGAAGGCGGCUCUCUGGUCUGUAACUGACGCUGAGGCUCGAAAGCGUGGGGAGCGAACAGGAUUAGAUACCCUGGUAGUCCACGCCGUAAACGAUGAGUGCUAAGUGUUGGAGGGUUUCCGCCCUUCAGUGCUGCAGCAAACGCAUUAAGCACUCCGCCUGGGGAGUACGACCGCAAGGUUGAAACUCAAAGGAAU
rnacentral:rRNA from 1 species